UACGGAGGGUGCAAGCGUUAAUCGGAAUUACUGGGCGUAAAGCGCACGCAGGUGGCUGAGUCAGUCGAUUGUGAAAGCCCUGGGCUUAACCUGGGAAUUGCAGUCGGAUACUACUCGGCUCGAGUAUGGGAGAGGGCAGUGGAAGUUCCUGGUGGUAGCAGUGAAAUGCGUAGAUAUCAGGAGGAAUGACCCGUGGCGAAGGCGGCUUCCUGGGGCACCACUGACGCUGAGAAGCGAAAGCUAGGGGAGCAAACGGG
rnacentral:rRNA from 1 species